UUGCUCUCCUUUCUUCUUUCUGCAUCCUAAACUGCCUUCUUUCACUCCCUCAGAUAGUCACCUCCUCAGCACCCUCUUCAACCGCGUCUUCAUCGGAGAUUCCAAUUCCGGGUCGGGUUUUGUCUCCACAGGCCGGUCUAUUUCAGUCACCAACAACAAAAGCCCACCUCCAAACUCACCCUCUCCUUACAACACAGCAAGAGUUUUCACCACUGCUUCAAGGUAUAGCUUCAGCAUCAAGAAAAUGGGAACUCACUUGUUUUUGUGCGCGUGAGGCAUAAGCUCCUCCGCCGGUUGCUGCUUCGGAUUGUGAGAGAGAAUAAUUACUCUGCUUUUUGUUUAGGUAAAGAUGGUUGAGCCUAAUUGUGUUAGAGAAAAGAACAAGAGCUACUAGGAAUUCCUUGCCAAACUAUUGGCAUCAAUUGGCAAUAGCUCCAGAAGAGAACGUAGAGAACAAUUAAGGAGAUGUAAUGCAGGCUAGGUCCAAGUCAUGGUUUGGGUUAGCUAAGAGGUCCAAUGCAAAUUCAUGUUUAAUUCCGGCUUUGCAGGAAAAAAAAAAAAAAAAAAAAAAGGCUCCUUGCAAUCACAUGUCGGACUAGAAAAUGGAUGGUCAUAGCUAUAUUACCAAUCUCAACUUGCCUUUGAAGCUAUUAAUAUGAAAUCACCAUAAAAUUGAAUUGAAAAUA